CGGAGGAUCCAAGCGUUAUCCGGAAUCAUUGGGUUUAAAGGGUCCGUAGGCGGUUUAGUAAGUCAGUGGUGAAAGCCCAUCGCUCAACGGUGGAACGGCCAUUGAUACUGCUAGACUUGUAUUAUUAGGAAGUAACUAGAAUAUGUAGUGUAGCGGUGAAAUGCUUAGAGAUUACAUGGAAUACCAAUUGCGAAGGCAGGUUACUACUAAUGGAUUGACGCUGAUGGACGAAAGCGUGGGUAGCGAACAGGAUUAGAUACCCUGGUAGUCCACGCCGUAAACGAUGGAUACUAGCUGUUGGGAGCAAUUUCAGUGGCUAAGCGAAAGUGAUAAGUAUCCCACCUGGGGAGUACGUUCGCAAGAAUG
rnacentral:rRNA from 1 species